rnacentral:rRNA from 1 species
GAUGAACGCUGGCGGCGUGCCUAAUACAUGCAAGUCGAGCGAACAGACGAGGAGCUUGCUCCUCUGACGUUAGCGGCGGACGGGUGAGUAACACGUGGAUAACCUACCUAUAAGACUGGGAUAACUUCGGGAAACCGGAGCUAAUACCGGAUAAUAUAUUGAACCGCAUGGUUCAAUAGUGAAAGACGGUUUUGCUGUCACUUAUAGAUGGAUCCGCGCCGCAUUAGCUAGUUGGUAAGGUAACGGCUUACCAAGGCGACGAUGCGUAGCCGACCUGAGAGGGAGAUCGGCCACACUGGAACUGAGACACGGUCCAGACUCCUACGGGAGGCAGCAGUAGGGAAUCUUCCGCAAUGGGCGAAAGCCUGACGGAGCAACGCCGCGUGAGUGAUGAAGGUCUUCGGAUCGUAAAACUCUGUUAUUAGGGAAGAAGAAAUGUGUAAGUAACUAUGCACGUCUUGACGGUACCUAAUCAGAAAGCCACGGCUAACUACGUG